GACGAACGCUGGCGGCGUGCCUAAUACAUGCAAGUCGAGCGGACGGAUGGGAGCUUGCUCCCAGACCGUCAGCGGCGGACGGGUUAGUAACACGUGGGCAACCUGCCUGUAAGACUGGGAUAACUCCGGGAAACCGGGGCUAAUACCGGAUAACUCUUUCCCUCACAUGAGGGAAAGCUGAAAGAUGGCAUCUCGCUAUCACUUACAGAUGGGCCCGCGGCGCAUUAGCUAGUUGGUGAGGUAACGGCUCACCAAGGCGACGAUGCGUAGCCGACCUGAGAGGGUGAUCGGCCACACUGGGACUGAGACACGGCCCAGACUCCUACGGGAGGCAGCAGUAGGGAAUCUUCCGCAAUGGACGAAAGUCUGACGGAGCAACGCCGCGUGAGUGAUGAAGGUUUUCGGAUCGUAAAACUCUGUUGUCAGGGAAGAACAAGUACCGGAGUAACUGCCGGUACCUUGACGGUACCUGACCAGAAAGCCACGGCUAACUACGUG
rnacentral:rRNA from 1 species